CCUACGGGAGGCAGCAGUGGGGAAUCUUGCGCAAAGGGCGAAAGCCUGACGCAGCAACGCCGCUUGCGGGAUGACGGCCUUCGUGGUUGUAAACCGCUUUCAGCAGGGACGAAAUUGACGGUACCUGCAGAAGAAGCCCCGGCUAACUACGUGCCAGCAGCCGCGGUAAU
rnacentral:rRNA from 1 species